rnacentral:rRNA from 1 species
GAUGAACGCUGGCGGCGUGCCUAAUACAUGCAAGUCGAGCGAACAGACGAGGAGCUUGCUCCUCUGACGUUAGCGGCGGACGGGUGAGUAACACGUGGAUAACCUACCUAUAAGACUGGGAUAACUUCGGGAAACCGGAGCUAAUACCGGAUAAUAUAUUGAACCGCAUGGUUCAAUAGUGAAAGACGGUUUUGCUGUCACUUAUAGAUGGAUCCGCGCCGCAUUAGCUAGUUGGUAAGGUAACGGCUUACCAAGGCAACGAUGCGUAGCCGACCUGAGAGGGUGAUCGCCCACACGGGACCUGAGACCCGGCCCAGCCCCUAACGGGAGGCAGCGGUGGGAAAUCUUCCGCAUUGGGCGAAAGCCUGACGGAGCAACGCCGCGUGAGUGAUGAAGUUCUUCGGUUCGUAAACCUCUGUUAUUGGGGAAGAACAAAUGUGUAAGUAACGUUGCACGUCUUACCGGUACCUAUUCAGAAGACCCCGGCUAACUCCGU